ACGCUGGCGGCGUGCCUAAUACAUGCAAGUAGAACGCUGAAGGAGGAGCUUGCUUCUCUGGAUGAGUUGCGAACGGGUGAGUAACGCGUAGGUAACCUGCCUGGUAGCGGGGGAUAACUAUUGGAAACGAUAGCUAAUACCGCAUAAUAGUAGAUGUUGCAUGACAUUUGCUUAAAAGAUGCAAUUGCAUCACUACCAGAUGGACCUGCGUUGUAUUAGCUAGUUGGUGGGGUAACGGCUCACCAAGGCGACGAUACAUAGCCGACCUGAGAGGGUGAUCGGCCACACUGGGACUGAGACACGGCCCAGACUCCUACGGGAGGCAGCAGUAGGGAAUCUUCGGCAAUGGACGAAAGUCUGACCGAGCAACGCCGCGUGAGUGAAGAAGGUUUUCGGAUCGUAAAGCUCUGUUGUAAGAGAAGAACGAGUGUGAGAGUGGAAAGUUCACACUGUGACGGUAUCUUACCAGAAAGGGACGGCUAACUACGUGCCAGCAGCCGCGAUAAUACGUAGGCCCCGAGCGUUGUCCGGAUUUAUUGGGCGUAAAGCGAGCGCAGGCGGUUAGAUAAGUCUGAAGUUAAAGGCUGUGGCUUAACCAUAGUACGCUUUGGAAACUGUUUAACUUGAGUGCAAGAGGGGAGAGUGGAAUUCCAUGUGUAGCGGUGAAAUGCGUAGAUAUAUGGAGGAACACCGGUGGCGAAAGCGGCUCUCUGGCUUGUAACUGACGCUGAGGCUCGAAAGCGUGGGGAGCAAACAGGAUUAGAUGCCCUGGUAGUCCACGCCGUAAACGGUGAGUGCUAGGUGUUAGACCCUUUCCGGGGUUUAGUGCCGCAGCUAACGCAUUAAGCACUCCGCCUGGGGAGUACGACCGCAAGGUUGAAACUCGAAGGAAUUGACGGGGGCCCGCACAAGCGGUGGAGCAUGUG
rnacentral:rRNA from 1 species